rnacentral:misc_RNA from 1 species
GGCGGUGGAUCCGCUGAGUGGGGCGAGCUAUAAUGCGCAUGGAUUGUACGGGAGGAAGUAUCUCUUACCGGCCAUGUGGGACCCCAAGACUUCUCAGUGCUCUACACUCGUGUAGAGAAUAAAACAACACGUGUGUAAAUUCUUUGUUCGUCUCCUUAUCGUUUUAUUGUUGUGUGAAAUGAUGAAACCUGUGUCUAAUAAUAAAG